AACGAACGCUGGCGGCAUGCCUAACACAUGCAAGUCGAACGAGACCUUCGGGUCUAGUGGCGCACGGGUGCGUAACGCGUGGGAACCUGCCCUUAGGUUCGGUAUAACUCCCCGAAAGGGGUGCUAAUACCGGAUAAUGUCUUCGGACCAAAGAUUUAUCGCCUUUGGAUGGGCCCGCGUUGGAUUAGCUAGUUGGUAGGGUAAAAGCCUACCAAGGCGACGAUCCAUAGCUGGUCUGAGAGGAUGAUCAGCCACACUGGGACUGAGACACGGCCCAGACUCCUACGGGAGGCAGCAGUGGGGAAUAUUGGACAAUGGGCGAAAGCCUGAUCCAGCAAUGCCGCGUGAGUGAUGAAGGCCUUAGGGUUGUAAAGCUCUUUUAACCGGGAUGAUAAUGACAGUACCGGGAGAAUAAGCUCCGGCUAACUCCGUG
rnacentral:rRNA from 1 species